rnacentral:rRNA from 1 species
AAGGAAUAUUGGACAAUGGACGCAAGUCUGAUCCAGCCAUGCCGCGUGAAGGAUGAAUGCCCUCUGGGUUGUAAACUUCUUUUAUAGGGGAAGAAAGAUACUUUUUUUAAGGUAGUUGACGGUACCCUAUGAAUAAGCACCGGCUAACUCCGUGCCAGCAGCCGCGGUAAUACGGAGGGUGCAAGCGUUAUCCGGAUUUACUGGGUUUAAAGGGUGCGUAGGCGGGCAUGUAAGUCAGUGGUGAAAUACCGGAGCUUAACUUCGGAACUGCCAUUGAUACUGUAUGUCUUGAAUAUUGUGGAGGUAAGCGGAAUAUGUCAUGUAGCGGUGAAAUGCAUAGAUAUGACAUAGAACACCGAUUGCGGAGGCAGCUUGCUACGCAAAUAUUGACGCUGAGGCACGAAAGCGUUGGGAUCAAACA